GACGAACGCUGGCGGCGUGCUUAACACAUGCAAGUCGAGCGAUGAAGUUUCCUUCGGGAAAUGGAUUAGCGGAGGACGGGUGAGUAACACGUGGGUAACCUGCCUCAUAGAGGGGAAUAGACUCCCGAAAGGGAGAUUAAUACCGCAUCAUAUUAACAUCUCGCACUAAACAGUAAUUAAAGGAGCAAUCCGCUAUGAGAUGGACCCGCGGCGCAUUAGCUCGUUGGUGGAGUAAUGGCUCACCAUGGCGACGAUCGGUAGGUGUUCGGAGAGGACGAUCACCCAGACUGGGACUUAGACACGGCCCAGACUCCUACGGGAGGCAGCAGUCGGGAAUUUUGCUCAAUGGACGAAAGUCUGAAGCAGCAACGCCGCGUGAGGGAUGAAGGCCUUCGGGUUGUAAACCUCUUUUAUCAGGGACGAUUAUGACGGUACCUGAUGAAUAAGCCACGGCUAACUACGUGCCAGCAGCCGCAGUAAAAC
rnacentral:rRNA from 1 species